rnacentral:lncRNA from 1 species
GCGAACAGAGAAAAGAGAGAAAACAGGAUGUAAAGGUACACUACCUAGCAAGAUAAAUCAUCAUCUUGAACAAACUCCUAACCCACAUGACAAAAUCCUAGAGCCAUGAGCCAAACCAUGGGAAAUUCGUCCCAUCCAAAGCCAUUCUCGAUCCAUCAAACCAUGUCCAAGUAGGAUAAGCAACCAGCAGAGGCAUAGAUACCACAACUUAAACAAACUGAACAUUGUUUAUGUUUGCCAAAACUCACACUAAACUUCAUUGUCAACUUAGGUGGAAGGAACCAACAAUGAAAUGAACCUUCGGAUACCACCUGCAUCAUGCAUCAGAUUUUCAUCCUCAAAGUCCUUAGAGUCCUGAAGACAAGAAAGAAUAAACACAGUUUUAAGUUCCAAAAUGUAGAAAACAUUGCAGAGUUAAAGAAGAAUAAGAAAAAAAAUACAUAUGAAAUGUAUCACCCAAAUUAUUGAUGUUCAGCACUUCAAAACUUAAUGUCCAUUUAUAUAUAGGGUCUAGAAUUAACCUGCACUGUCACUAUAAUAGCCACCACCUCGUCCACUGUAGGCGUAGGGAAUUUCCCUGUUUAGUAUUUUAAUACAGUUAACGUGAGCUAUUUUCGGCCAGUCUUCUCCUCUUACCUCGCAUCGCUUCUGUAAC